GUUAUGCAGAGCUAAUGGAUGUGGCUGCAGCAAUUUACACCUGUGCAAGUUCUACCUGUAUGGAACAUGUCCAUCCAAUGAGAGACAAGGAUGCCGUCUCUGCCAUGAGCUGACAUCAGAGCACAACAUCUGAGUCCUGAGAGAGCAUCACCUGGAGGAACUGGACAGGAAGGAGCUGUGUACAUUACUGUUGCAGAAUGACAACGCCCUUAUACCCCCAGUUUGCUUCACAUACAACAAAGGUAGUGGAGAGUAUGGCUACUGUCCUGACAAGGAGAGCUGCAGAAGACCCUCUGCUGCAGGCUGUUG